rnacentral:rRNA from 1 species
CAGCAGCCACGGGAAUACGUAGGGUGCAAGCGUUAAUCGGAAUUACUGGGCGUAAAGCGUGCGCAGGCGGUUAUAUAAGUCAGAUGUGAAAUCCCCGGGCUCAACCUGGGAACUGCAUUUGAGACUGUAUGGCUAGAGUGUGUCAGAGGGGGGUAGAAUUCCACGCGUAGCAGUGAAAUGCGUAGAUAUGUGGAGGAAUACCGAUGGCGAAGGCAGCCUCCUGGGAUAACACUGACGCUCAUGCACGAAAGCGUGGGGAGCAAACAGGAUUAGAUACCCGAGUAGUCCCUGUCUCUUAUAC